CGUGUACGUACAAGCAGUGGGAGCCUCUUUUAUGGGGUGACUGCGUACCUUUUGUAUAAUGGGUCAGCGACUUAUAUUCUGUAGCAAGGUUAACCGAAUAGGGGAGCCGAAGGGAAACCGAGUCUUAACCGGGCGUUAAGUUGCAGGGUAUAGACCCGAAACCCGGUGAUCUAGCCAUGGGCAGGUUGAAGGUUGGGUAACACUAACUGGAGGACCGAACCGACUAAUGUUGAAAAAUUAGCGGAUGACUUGUGGCUGGGGGUGAAAGGCCAAUCAAACCGGGAGAUAGCUGGUUCUCCCCGAAAGCUAUUUAGGUAGCGCCUCGUGAAUUCAUCUCCGGGGGUAGAGCACUGUUUCGGCAAGGGGGUCAUCCCGACUUACCAACCCGAUGCAAACUGCGAAUACCGGAGAAUGUUAUCACGGGAGACACACGGCGGGUGCUAACGUCCGUCGUGAAGAGGGAAACAACCCAGACCGCCAGCUAAGGUCCCAAAGUCAUGGUUAAGUGGGAAACGAUGUGGGAAGGCCCAGACAGCCAGGAUGUUGGCUUAGAAGCAGCCAUCAUUUAAAGAAAGCGUAAUAGCUCACUGGUCGAGUCGGCCUGCGCGGAAGAUGUAACGGGGCUAAACCAUGCACCGAAGCUGCGGCAGCGACACUGUGUGUUGUUGGGUAGGGGAGCGUUCUGUAAGCCUGUGAAGGUGUGCUGUGAGG
rnacentral:rRNA from 1 species